UACGAAGGGGGCCAGCGUUGCUCGGAAUCACUGGGCGUAAAGCGCACGUAGGCGGCUUCUUAAGUCAGGGGUGAAAUCCUGGAGCUCAACUCCAGAACUGCCUUUGAUACUGAGGAGCUCGAGUCCGGAAGAGGUGAGUGGAACUGCGAGUGUAGAGGUGAAAUUCGUAGAUAUUCGCAAGAACACCAGUGGCGAAGGCGGCUCACUGGUCCGGUACUGACGCUGAGGUGCGAAAGCGUGGGGAGCGAACAGG
rnacentral:rRNA from 1 species